GGAAGGUAGGUUGAUUGGUAGAGUGCUUGCCUUGCAAGCAUGAGGACCUGGGUUCGAUCCCUGGACCUUCCU
rnacentral:tRNA from 1 species